GUUUUCUUAAAAACCACAUCUGGUUCCUGGGGCAGGGAGGCGAGAUGGAUGAUCAUGUUCAAAAUAAACUGGUAGAAUGGGACCUGGGUGAUUUACUCUCUACAUUUGAAGACAGGCGAGGACACGUGGCUUUGCUUCUGCUACCUGUGGUGCCCCCGGCACCUACAAAAUCCGGAGAAAGACGGUCCGCCCCAGCUACGCCGAAUCUACAAAAGCUUUCAUAGGUGAGCAGCCUGUUGGAACAAACAUCGCUGAAUACCUUAUGAAAAGGACAAGCACAGAGGUCCCACGUGUGCUUCUUCUUGGGGACAGGCAUCUGUUAUCGCAAGCCUUUGUUAUAGUGCAUGGACAUGCCCUGGAGCACCCAUCUCUUCUUGGGGCAGUAGAUGCCUGCUUUAAGGCUUUUUAUGUUUUUGAUGUACAGUAUCCUAGACCUUGUGCAGAACUGUGGUAGUUUUUGCAGACGAUAUAUGGUAUCCCUGGACAUGUUAGAUCAUCGGUACAGAUGAUGUGAGCAGUUUGCGGCACAGUGAACUGCAAACUGCUCAUAACGUUAUGCACACACACUAGAGUCUGGAUCGGGCCGAAUAUUUCUGUGCGAGCCCGGCCCGCGUCCGACAGGCA